AAGGUAGCGUAAUAACCAGCCUUCUAAUUAGAGGCCAGUGAAAGGCAACACAUGGGACCACCUAUAUCUAAUGUGCCAAAAGAAUUUUACCUUUGAGUGAAAAGGCUCAACUAAUCAAAAAAGACGAAAAGACCCCGCGGAGCUUUACUCAAAAGUUACAGACCACAUAAACUCAACACCAAAAGUUUGGUUGGGGCAACCUUGGAACAAAUAAUCUUCCAAUUCAUCUCUCUGCAAUAAAAUACAAAACCUUUACGGACUAAAAAGAAGCUACCCCGGGGAUAACAGCGUAAUCCAACUUAAA
rnacentral:rRNA from 1 species